rnacentral:lncRNA from 1 species
AGGCCCAGCACCUUCGCAGGGGUAAAACCGUCAUUCGCCAAGGAGACACAAAGAGCUCUAGGUUUCUGUGUCACUAUAAAUACAUUAAACCACUGUUUGGAACAGGGAUCGGUCCAGAGGUUAUUAUCCACCAGACUGAGAAUCGUGCCGCGCCCGAACUCGCCCUAGCCCGAGAUUCCCGCCGCGACUCUCUUUCUCGUGAUUUUGCACUUCUGUUUCGUAUUAGGUUCUCAGCUCGGCAGAUAGUCUAUAACUGCCGCAGCGAGACUUCUCUCUUUGUAACUUCGGAUUUUUCGCAAAAGCUAAUAAAGAAAAUUGUUUCGUAUCGUCCCAAAAAUCUCGUAUCAUUAUUGUAGCUGCUCCCCCCUUGCAC